GUUUGACCUCAUACACGUAAGAAUACCCGCUGAACUUAA
rnacentral:rRNA from 1 species